CUUUCAUCUCAACAUAUGCUCCGUGAUGUUUUCGAUUAAUAAGUGUUCCUUCGUUAAAGCUUUCAAAUCAACCUUUUGAACUACGGACCUCGGACAUUGAGAUCAAAUAUGUACUGCCUCUUCUGCAAAAUUCGGGCCCUUUGCGAGAUAUAGUCAACUGUUAUUCGCAAAUCGAUAGAGGUAUGUUCGAUAAACUCCGUACCCACCCACAAAUUUUGUCAAAUCAAAUCCUACUUUGACAUGGCGUUCCUAGAUCCGUGUCAGAAUAUUUAAAAUAAAUCUAUGGGCUUAGCGACCUUGUUUUUCUUUCCAAAUUAAUGACAUUCCAGAUGAAAUUAAUAAUUUUCCAAAUUAAAUUAACGGCUUUUUGCAUCAAAUUCGGGUCAAAUCAAUAAUCACAGCGGAAUAUAUAUUUUUUUUCAUAAAAAGCUGUCAAGCAAGAAACUUUAGACCUAAACACAACUAAUUUCGCACAAACGCAUACUUAAUCAAAUAAAUCCAAUCAUAAGUUGAGUAUGAUUUCUGGUAAAACGUUAAUCGUCUUUUUGAUCCACCCACGCCUGGUAUAAUCUUCGAAUACGCUUUGUUUUUUAAUGCAGUCUUAAACUCAUGUGUUUGAUUGGUUGGUAUUCAAGAGAUAAAAGUUUUAAAUUUGCAUAGUGUUGUUUUGAAGUGUAGGAAAGGUGAAUAGAAAAAAAUCGGGUCGAAUGAUUAGCGA